UUACAAUAACCGGGGUGUUAACGAAAGGAUUUUAUCCUGCCGUUAUCUGAGAGCAAACCCGCAAGGCGACCGUACGGCCGUCUGAACCUGAUCCGGAUAAUGCCGGCGGAGGAAGUUAUGAAGACUCGUCU
rnacentral:ncRNA from 1 species